rnacentral:snRNA from 1 species
AUCGCUUCUCAGCCUUUUGGCUAAGAUCAAGUGUCGUAUCUGUUCUUAUCAGUUUCAUAUCUGAUAUGUCCUCUAUCCAAGACUGGAAAUGCUAAUCAUGUCGGUAUUUUAGCAGGAUGAGCAGAGUCCUG